rnacentral:rRNA from 1 species
GAUGAACGCUGGCGGCGUGCCUAAUACAUGCAAGUCGAGCGAACAGACGAGGAGCUUGCUCCUUCGACGUUAGCGGCGGACGGGUGGGUAACACGUAGGUAACCUACCUAUAAGACUGGGAUAACUUCGGGAAACCGGAGCUAAUACCGGAUAAUAUUUCGAACCGCAUGGUUCGAUAGUGAAAGAUGGCUUUGCUAUCACUUAUAGAUGGACCUGCGCCGUAUUAGCUAGUUGGUAAGGUAACGGCUUACCAAGGCAACGAUACGUAGCCGACCUGAGAGGGUGAUCGGCCACACUGGAACUGAGACACGGUCCAGACUCCUACGGGAGGCAGCAGUAGGGAAUCUUCCGCAAUGGGCGAAAGCCUGACGGAGCAACGCCGCGUGAGUGAUGAAGGUCUUCGGAUCGUAAAACUCUGUUAUUAGGGAAGAACAAACGUGUAAGUAACUGUGCACGUCUUGACGGUACCUAAUCAGAAAGCCACGGCUAACUACGUG